AUUCCAGCUCCAAUAGCGUAUAUUAAAGUUGUUGCAGUUAAAAAGCUCGUAGUUGAACUUUUGCUGUGGCGACCUUGCGACGCUUUGCUUUGCCUGUGUUGCUUCAGCAUCCUCCUUUGUAUUGCGCUUUAAUGUGUUACUUCAAUGGAGGCUUUACUUUGAGAAAAAUAGAGUGUUUCAAGCAGGCUGUGCCUUGAAUACUGCAGCAUGGAAUAAUGAGAUAGACCUGCAUUCUAAUUUCGUUGGUUUGGUUGAAUGAGUGAUGAUUAAUAGGGAUAGUUGGGGGCAUUUGUAUUCGACAGUCAGAGGUGAAAUUCUUAGAUUUGUCGAAGACAGACAACUGCGAAAGCAUUUGCCAAGGAUAUUCUCAUCA
rnacentral:rRNA from 1 species